rnacentral:rRNA from 1 species
AGCUCCAAUAGCGUAUAUUAAAGUUGUUGCAGUUAAAAAGCUCGUAGUCGAAUUUUGGAAUUCAUUGACUGGUCCACCGUAAGGUGUGCACUGGUCUGAUGGGUUCUUCCUUCUAAAAACCAUUGUGCCCUUUAUUGGGUGCUUUGGCUCUUUAGACUAGUUACUUUGAAAAAAUUAGAGUGUUUAAGGCAGGCAUAAGCUUGAAUAGAUUAGCAUGGAAUAAUGGAAUAGGACUUUGGUUCUAUUUUGUUGGUUUCUAGGACCAAAGUAAUGAUUAAUAGGGAUAGUUGGGGGCAUUAGUAUUGAUCUGUCAGAGGUGAAAUUCUUGGAUUUGAUCAAGACUAACAACUGCGAAAGCAUUUGCCAAGGAUGUUUUCAUUGAUCAAGAACGAAAGUACGC